rnacentral:lncRNA from 1 species
CCUGGGGGACUCCACUAGUGACCGGCCUCCAACUGGAUUGAACUCCAGUUACAUUUAACUGGAUUGCAACAGCAGGCGUGCUUCUAGCCACGCGUGCCUUUUUCCAGAGAGAAAGCCGAAGAAAUCGGCAAACCGCAGCCGGCUGCACCCUGAGGGGCAAGGGCAGAGCAAACCCCGGGCUGGCACAGCCGGGAGCAUCCCUGCAGAGAGCUGCAACGUCCCUGACAGCAGUUUUGUUCAGGGGGACCCGGGGCCAGGUGGGACAGCCUCGGCUGUGCCUCCCGCUGCGCGCUGCAGCCUCUCUCGCCUCCAGAUCGGUCACUGUUCUCUGCAACGUGCCGUGCCCUGCAGCACGCUUUCCCCCUCUUUUUCUGGGGGAAGAAACGCCUGACUUCCUCUUACACGUUUGGUAGUUGUGGGUAGGGAAAGGAGGAGAAAAUACAGGGCGCUCUGUGUACGAGUGCCUUCUCUUCCUUACGGGGAGGCAGCAGGCCAUCCAGGCACUGUUCCAUCAUCCCCAGUACAACUGCCUGCUUUAUUCUAACCUGGCUCUCCGCAAGAACACGGGCUGAAGUUCCCAACAGCCUGAUGUGCUCAUGCAGCAACAUGGAAGCUGCUCUGCAAGCUCUGUGCAUUUACUUUGGGUCAAACGAAGCCAAAUACCACUUUGUCCUUGUAAGCGACCAACAGAGGUCACUGACGUCUGUCGCUGGGGCUGGGGCCCCACUGCACGGGCAACCCCGCUGGCUUCAGCAGAGACCCCUGCAUGACGUCAGGCAGAAUUCUGACCCAAAAUUGGACUGAUUUCGGUCACACCGAGACUAAAGGCCCUCACCUCAAAUGGCUCUCAGCGCCCUACAGGACACUGGCCGAACUAAACCACCGCACGCUCCUGGCCGCUCCUUUCCAGCACUGUGCCGGACAAUUGUCCACGCCCUACAGGACAGGAUGAUGGGACACCGAUGGAUGUGCGAUGGGACCAGACCACGGCACACUCCUGGCCUCUCUGCCCUUGAGAACUCAGCUGGAAGGAAGAGCUGCCAACGCUCUACAGGACAGAUAAGCGAUCCCCAACGCGGUUGGGCUAUGCACAAACCCCCGAGCACACCAAGGUCUGCCACUGUCCUUUCCCUCCUCUGCCCAAUCCCUCCGCGGCCACUGAAGGCUGGUGCAGCUUUCUACAACCACAGCCACCGGAGGAGCAGGAAGCACACAAGGACCCCGUCUGACCCCGGCCAUGGUCCUACAAGCACACCAAUGGGCCCCGCGGCUAUGGACAAAGAGCUCGGCACGCCUCCGCGCCACCCCACCCCACCCCACGUCUCUCUCAAACAUUGCUCAAAUAAAGGUUCUGAUUCACAACCUCAGCGGCUGCUUUUUCCUGCCCUUCUUGGGGAAACCUCGGGGGGCUUUGCCUUUUGCAGAAGGAGCAAGUGCACCAGCCUCUGCUUCUUCAGAUGCUGGCAUCAAGAGAAUUUCAAAGCAGAUUAAGUGUCCUAAUCUAAGACCAGAUUCUGCAGGCGUUUCAGAAAAGUGUUUGAUGAUAAACACUUAUGCAACUCUGGAGGAGAGUAGUCCACUAUGUUCUUAAUUUAUUCCUGCAGAUGGAAUACAGCAUCACAGUUCAGCUGCUGACUCUAAAACACAUUUUGCCAUUAGUUCUUCUGAUGCACCAGCUUCAUCUACAGUUACAUGAGGUCAAAUACCUUUAACACUAAUUUAGUCCAGCAUGACUUUUGUUGUUGUUAUUUAUUAAAUGCAGGCAGAAAUAAUCACUUUUUUUUUUCCUUAAAGCAGAGAUUAACACCUCUUUAAAAUUAAGUCCGAAAGAGGCAGCUCUGAUCACUGCAGCUGCUACUGACAAGUCAGAAAGGAAAACUCCCACUUCUGGCAAGACAGAGGAAAAAGACCAGAAAUCCUAGAACAGGAAAUUACUCAUGCAAGCAAGAGUAAUCAGAAGCUGGUAAAGACAGUAUCACAUCUUAACAGCAGGACCAGAGAUAGCCAUUGAAACCAGAAUCUAUUUGAGCAUCAGAGAAAGUCUGCAUAAACGACUAGAGUCACUUGCAAAGAACUAGUAACGACAUAGUAAGAGCAUAUAUUCCUUCCUGUCUCAAGUCACCAGGGAGACUUCUAAAACAGCAUCACGAAUGUCAACUCCACUGAGGCUUCAACGGAGUAAACUAACGAUUCCUCAAACUUCCAGCAUGACUUACACAAUCCCAUUUUGAGGCGUUAAAGCAGGACUUUUGGUACAGACAGAAAUAAAAGUUUAUGUAAAUGUUUCUCGGCUCA